rnacentral:rRNA from 1 species
UGGGGAAUAUUGCACAAUGGGCGCAAGCCUGAUGCAGCCAUGCCGCGUGUAUGAAGAAGGCCUUCGGGUUGUAAAGUACUUUCAGUCGGGAGGAAGGUGGUAAGGUUAAUAACCUUGGCAAUUGACGUUACCGACAGAAGAAGCACCGGCUAACUCCGUGCCAGCAGCCGUGGUAAUACGGAGGGUGCAAGCGUUAAUCGGAAUUACUGGGCGUAAAGCGCACGCAGGCGGUUGAUUGAGUCAGAUGUGAAAUCCCCGGGCUUAACCCGGGAAUUGCAUCUGAUACUGGGCAGCUAGAGUCUUGUAGAGGGGGGUAGAAUUCCAUGUGUAGCGGUGAAAUGCGUAGAGAUGUGGAGGAAUACCGGUGGCGAAGGCGGCCCCCUGGACAAAGACUGACGCUCAGGUGCGAAAGCGUGGGGAGCAAACAGG